CAUUGCCUCCAUUGCCUCCAUAUUAGACAUCAUAUCGUUUUUAUAUCUUCACUAAAACUAGCCUUUUAUGUGCAUCUUGAUCAUCGAGACGGUCUUGUUGUCAUCACACCAAUCUUUCAUACUUCUAGCUUAUCAGUAAUGACAUAGUCAUGCUCAAUUGUAAGUUUCUCACUUUCUCUCUCUCAAAAAGGAUAUUUUGUAUAAUUUCUAUUAGUUUUUUU
rnacentral:lncRNA from 1 species